UGCCAGCCGCCGCGGUAAUAUGGAGGAUCCAUGCGUUAUCCGGAAUUAUUGGGUUUAAAGGGUCCGCAGGCGGUUUGUUAAGUCAGAGGUGAAAUCCUACCGCUCAACGGUAGAAUUGCCUUUGAUACUGAUAGACUCGAGUUAUUGUGAAGUAGUUAGAAUGUGUAGUGUAGCGGUGAAAUGCAUAGAUAUUACACAGAAUACCAAUUGCGAAGGCAGAUUACUAACAAUACACUGAACGCUGAGGGACGUAGGCGUGGGCAGCGAACGGCGUUAGAUA
rnacentral:rRNA from 1 species